GGGUUCCCGGUAGCCUGAUGUGCAAUAAAAAUCUCUCGUUGCCUCUUGGUGGUGGUAAUAAUGAAGCAUGUGGUCUUUUGGUCAUCGACAGUGCGCUCCUAAAUUGCCCGUUUUGUGUUGCGACUCGCCUGCUGGUGUAGCUGUUGACAAAAGUGGAUCGGAGCCUGRAUCGUCCCGAACAUUCGUGYCUCGCGGAGCUCUUAUCCCSYUUUAAUGCYCGAUCCUYUUGGCUGCUSCUCAUCKAUGCUURRCUUYUGGUCGAUGUUGUGCUGUCAUUGGGGCGUGCUUGUUUGGGUUGAUUUGAGACCGUUUGCGGCAUAUGAGUUGCAUUGAACAAUGCUCACUUUGAUCGGUGUUCCCCUCAGUGUUGCUGAUCAUUGUUAAAAGCAUUCGUUUCAUUUUGUUGGCCACAAAUCGCUUUGGAAGUGGUUGAACUAUGACAUGUUGCUUGCAUUUGGAUCCCAUUCACGAUAUUGGCAUUGGCUUUGAAGAAAGACAGACUGAUCUUUGCCUCUGCUUUCAAUGCGAAAAGAGGCAAUGGCUUGGCAUUGCAGUUAUUAUUUGAUCAGCUACUCGGUGAGGUGUAUGUGCGCAAACCAACAUCCAGUAUGCUGCUUGCUGAUCAAUAACUGUGCAUGAUGUUGUUAUAUGGGGCGGCGAAUUAAAAGCAUAUCUCGGUGAGUCAUGGUCACCUUGCGAAUGUGAGUUGCUUUUGGAGGCAAUCUUGCCUCCUAACCUCGUGCAACCAUGAUUCCUCCCUUCCUUCCACGUGCUUGAUGGUGUAUGGUUGGGUUGGUUUCAUGUUGUGUUGAGGUUGUGCUAC
rnacentral:misc_RNA from 1 species